rnacentral:lncRNA from 1 species
GGUAGGCGCGAAUUUUCUUGAAAAUUCGUUGAUUGGUUGGAGCGAGUAGACCCGCCGCGUGGUAGCUGGCAAAUAGUGGGGGUGGGGGGUGAAGAAAAAGAUCUAGUUAUUUACCGUCAACGUUAGAGUGCGCUAGGGUCGCGCGUCGUUCUUUGUUUCAUUUGGACGAUCAGUUCGUCUCGUCCAGCAGCGCAGGAAGGCCGGUCGAACAAGAAAAUUUUCGCUUUAAACGAGGGGUGUCUAAGCUAUUAUUCGUAAUAAUCCUAGAAACAAAACGCCGAUCAUUUACCCCGAAAAGAGCUCAAAAGACAACGCGCAUUCUCCGCGACAUGCUGCUGCUAGUGCUGCUAGGACGAACGUGAAGCUGCUCGAGUUAACGCGUUUCGAUCGAUUUGGAAAGCUCCCGUGUAUAUUCUCCUGGAAAAUAAAAUUCGUAAUCUUCGCGUAGUGUGAAAAUAGUGUGCUGCAAAGUGUGCGUGGAUUUGUGAGCUGGAAAAAGGAAAGGAAAGGAAAGGAAAGGAAAAGAAGGAAGAAGAAGAUAGUGUCAGAUUAGGGGAAAAAAGCUUUUCCGGUGUGUCGGUGUUGAAAAAAAGUAUUCUUCUUCGUUGUGUCCUCUUGUUGCCCCCUCUCCCAUCGAUCGAGCAGUGCAUGUGAGAAGAAGAAGAAGAAGAAGAAGAA